rnacentral:rRNA from 1 species
UGGGGAAUAUUGGACAAUGGGCGCAAGCCUGAUCCAGCCACGCCGCGUGAGUGAUGAAGGCCCUAGGGUUGUAAAGCUCUUUCACCGGUGAAGAUAAUGACGGUAACCGGAGAAGAAGCCCCGGCUAACUUCGUGCCAGCAGCCGCGGUAAUACGUAGGGGGCUAGCGUUAUCCGGAUUUACUGGGCGUAAAGGGUGCGUAGGUGGUCUUUCAAGUCGGUGGUUAAAGGCUACGGCUCAACCGUAGUUAGCCUCCGAAACUGGAAGACUUGAGUGCAGGAGAGGAAAGUGGAAUUCCCAGUGUAGCGGUGAAAUGCGUAGAUAUUGGGAGGAACACCAGUAGCGAAGGCGGCUUUCUGGACUGCAACUGACACUGAGGCACGAAAGCGUGGGUAGCAAACAGG